rnacentral:rRNA from 1 species
GACGAACGCUGGCGGCGUGCCUAAUACAUGCAAGUCGAACGCACAGUUUAUACCGUAGCUUGCUACACCAUAAACUGUGAGUUGCGAACGGGUGAGUAACGCGUAGGUAACCUGCCUGGUAGCGGGGGAUAACUAUUGGAAACGAUAGCUAAUACCGCAUAAUAUUGAUUAUUGCAUGAUAAUUGAUUGAAAGAUGCUAUUGCAUCACUACCAGAUGGACCUGCGUUGUAUUAGCUAGUAGGUGAGGUAACGGCUCACCUAGGCGACGAUACAUAGCCGACCUGAGAGGGUGAUCGGCCACACUGGGACUGAGACACGGCCCAGACUCCUACGGGAGGCAGCAGUAGGGAAUCUUCGGCAAUGGACGAAAGUCUGACCGAGCAACGCCGCGUGAGUGAAGAAGGUUGUCGGAUCGUAAAGCUCUGUUGUAAGAGAAGAACGGGUGUGAGAGUGGAAAGUUCACACUGUGACGGUAUCUUACCAGAAAGGGACGGCUAACUACGUG